GAUGAACGCUGGCGGCGUGCCUAAUACAUGCAAGUCGAGCGAACGGACGAGAAGCUUGCUUCUCUGAUGUUAGCGGCGGACGGGUGAGUAACACGUGGAUAACCUACCUAUAAGACUGGGAUAACUUCGGGAAACCGGAGCUAAUACCGGAUAAUAUUUUGAACCGCAUGGUUCAAAAGUGAAAGACGGCCUUGCUGUCACUUAUAGAUGGAUCCGCGCUGCAUUAGCUAGUUGGUAAGGUAACGGCUUACCAAGGCAACGAUGCAUAGCCGACCUGAGAGGGUGAUCGGCCACACUGGAACUGAGACACGGUCCAGACUCCUACGGGAGGCAGCAGUAGGGAAUCUUCCGCAAUGGGCGAAAGCCUGACGGGGCAACGCCGCGUGAGUGAUGAAGGUCUUCGGAUCGUAAAACUCUGUUAUUAGGGAAGAACAUAUGUGUAAGUAACUGUGCACAUCUUGACGGUACCUAAUCAGAAAGCCACGGCUAACUACGUG
rnacentral:rRNA from 1 species